UACGUAGGGGGCAAGCGUUGUCCGGAUUUAUUGGGCGUAAAGAGCGUGUAGGCGGCCAGGUAGGUGGGUUGUGAAAACUGGAGGCUCAACCUUCAGACGUCGACCCAAACCCCCCUGGCUAGAGUCCGGAAGGAGGCGAGUGGAACUCCUGGUGUAGCGGUGGAAUGCGCAGAUAUCAGGAAGAACACCAACGGCGAAGGCAGCUCGCUGGGACGGUACUGACGCUGAGACGCGAAAGCGUGGGGAGCGAACAGG
rnacentral:rRNA from 1 species